rnacentral:rRNA from 1 species
AACGAACGCUGGCGGCAGGCUUAACACAUGCAAGUCGAACGGACGUAGCAAUACGUUAGUGGCGCACGGGUGAGUAACACGUGGAUAUCUGCCUUUUGGUUCGGGAUAACCCUGGGAAACUAGGGCUAAUACCGAAUGGUUCCUACGGGAUAAAGAUUUAUCGCCAAAAGAUGAGUCCGCGUCCGGAUUAGCUAGUUGGUGAGGUAAUGGCUCACCAAGGCGACGAUCGGUAGCUGGUCUGAGAGGACCGAUCAGCCACACUGGGGACUGAGACACGG